AAUAGAUACCCGGGUAGUCCACGCCGUAAACGAUGUCGACUUGGAGGUUGUUCCCUUGAGGAGUGGCUUCCGGAGCUAACGCGUUAAGUCGACCGCCUGGGGAGUACGGCCGCAAGGUUAAAACUCAAAUGAAUUGACGGGGGCCCGCACAAGCGGUGGAGCAUGUGGUUUAAUUCGAUGCAACGCGAAGAACCUUACCUACUCUUGACAUCCAGAGAACUUUCCAGAGAUGGAUUGGUGCCUUCGGGAACUCUGAGACAGGUGCUGCAUGGCUGUCGUCAGCUCGUGUUGUGAAAUGUUGGGUUAAGUCCCGCAACGAGCGCAACCCUUAUCCUUUGUUGCCAGCGGCUAGGCCGGGAACUCAAAGGAGACUGCCAGUGAUAAACUGGAGGAAGUGGGGAUGACGUCAAGUCAUCAUGGCCCUUACGAGUAGGGCUACACACGUGCUACAAUGGCGCAUACAAAGAGAAGCGACCUCGCGAGAGCAAGCGGACCUCAUAAAGUGCGUCGUAGUCCGGAUUGGAGU
rnacentral:rRNA from 1 species